rnacentral:rRNA from 1 species
GACGGAGGGCGCAAACGUUGUUCGGAAUCACUGGGCGUAAAGGGCGCGUAGGCGGGACUGUAAGUCCGAGGUGAAAGCCCGGGGCUCAACCCCGGGACUGCCUUGGAAACUGCAGUCCUCGAGUGCAGGAGAGGAAGGCGGAAUUCCAGGUGUAGCGGUGGAAUGCGUAGAUAUCUGGAAGAACACCAGUGGCGAAGGCGGCCUUCUGGACUGACACUGACGCUGAGGCGCGAAAGCCAGGGGAGCAAACAGG